rnacentral:tRNA from 1 species
GUGGGUAUAGCUGAAUGGUAGAGCUGCAUGGUUAGCAUGAGCCAGGUCCUGGGUUCAAUCCCCAGUACCUCCA